GGGCGAUUAGCUCAAUUGGCAGAGCGCCGCAUUUACACUGCGGAGGUUGUAGGUUCAAGUCCUACAUCGCCCACCA
rnacentral:tRNA from 1 species